rnacentral:rRNA from 1 species
GAUGAACGCUGGCGGCGUGCCUAAUACAUGCAAGUCGAACGAAACUUCUUUAUCACUGAGUGCUUGCACUCACCGAUAAAGAGUUGAGUGGCGAACGGGUGAGUAACACGUGGGCAACCUGCCCAAAAGAGGGGGAUAACACUUGGAAACAGGUGCUAAUACCGCAUAACCAUAGUUACCGCAUGGUAACUAUGUAAAAGGUGGCUAUACUACCGCUUUUGGAUGGGCCCGCGGCGCAUUAGCUAGUUGGUAGGGUAAAGGCUUACCAAGGCAAUGAUGCGUAGCCGAAUUGAGAGGUUGAUCGGCCACAUUGGGACUGAGACACGGCCCAAACUCCUACGGGAGGCAGCAGUAGGGAAUCUUCCACAAUGGGCGAAAGCCUGAUGGAGCAACGCCGCGUGGGUGAAGAAGGUCUUCGGAUCGUAAAACCCUGUUGUUAGGGAAGAAAGUGCGUGAGAGUAACUGUUCGCGUUUCGACGGUAUCUAACCAGAAAGCCACGGCUAACUACGUG